UACGAAGGGGGCUAGCGUUGCUCGGAAUCACUGGGCGUAAAGCGCACGUAGGCGGACUCUUAAGUCGGUGGUGAAAUCCUGGAGCUCAACUCCAGAACUGCCUCCGAUACUGGGAGCCUUCGAGUCCGGGAGAGGUGAGUGGAACUGCGAGUGUAGAGGUGAAAUUCGUAGAUAUUCGCAAGAACACCAGUGGCGAAGGCGGCUCACUGGCCCGGUACUGACGCUGAGGCACGAAAGCGUGGGGAGCAAACAGG
rnacentral:rRNA from 1 species